rnacentral:rRNA from 1 species
GACGAAGGCGCCAAACGUUUAUUCGGAAUCACUGGGCUUACAGAGUUCGUAGGCGGUCUGGAAAGUUGGGUGUGAAAUCCCUCGGCUCAACCGAGGAACUGCGCUUGAAACUACCAGACUCGAGGGAGAUAGAGGAAAGCGGAACUGAUGGUGGAGCGGUGAAAUGCGUUGAUAUCAUCAGGAACACCGGUGGCGAAGGCGGCGUCCUGGACCAACACUGACACUGAUGAGCGAAAGCCAGGGAGCAACGGG